rnacentral:rRNA from 1 species
GUCUUCUUGUUAUAUAUAUGAAGUCUGGUCUGCCCACUGAAUUAUUGAAGGGCCGCGGUAUUUUGACCGUGCAAAGGUAGCAUAAUCAUUAGUCUUUUAAUUGGGGGCUGGAAUGAAGGGCUGCACGAGGUAUAGACUGUCUUAUUUAAAUUGUUGUUAGAAUUUAAUUUUUAAGUUAAAAAGCUUAAAUUUUUUUAGAGGACGAGAAGACCCUAUAGAACUUUAUAUAAAUUUAAUAUAGGUGGCUUUUGGUUGUUUUUAUAUUUAUUUAUAUUUAUAUUUUGUUGGGGUGAUAGGAAAAUAAUAUUAACUUUUUUUAUUAAUUUACAUUAAUUUAUGGUUAUUUGAUCCAUUUUUAGUGAUUAUAAGAUUAAGUUACCUUAGGGAUAACAGCGUAAUUUUCCCUUAGAGUUCUUAUCGACGGGAAAGCUUGCGACCUCGAUGUUGGAUUAAGAUUAAUUUUUGGUGUAGAAGCUUAAAUAUUAGGUCUGUUCGACCUUUAAAUUCUUACA